CUGGGUUAAGGAGUCUGAGAGAAAGAAUGGAGACCUUCUUGAGCAUCACAUUAAUGAUCCUGGGGCUUCAACUGGACUAUGUGAGAAGCCAAGAAGAGGUGUCUCAAACUCCUCAGUCCUUGACUGUUCAGGAGAAAGAGCAUGUCAACAUGAACUGCAGUUACAAAAACAAUGCCUUCAACUACUUCCCUUGGUACAAGCAGGAUUCUGGGAAAGGCCCAGAAUUGCUGAUGGACAUUCGUUCAAAUGUGGACAAAAAAGAAAACAGAAGAGUGACAAUCCUGCUCAACAAAAAAGACCAACACCUCUCCCUGCACAUUACUUAUGCCCAGCCUGGAGACUCAGGAACCUACUUUUGUGCAGCGAGUACACAGUGCUCUCUGGAUACCUGUAGCCUGUGCAGAAACCCUGCAGGUGGGGCUCCAGUCUCACUACUUGUCAACUAG